UACGGAGGAUCCGAGCGUUAUCCGGAUUUAUUGGGUUUAAAGGGUGCGUAGGCGGGCUAUUAAGUCAGUGGUGAAAUCCUGCAGCUUAACUGCAGAACUGCCGUUGAUACUGAUAGUCUUGAGUUUGGUUAAGGUAGGCGGAAUGUGUAAUGUAGCGGUGAAAUGCUUAGAUAUUACACAGAACACCAAUUGCGUAGGCAGCUUACUGAGCCGACACUGACGCUGAGGCACGAAAGCGUGGGGAUCAAACAGGAUUAGAUA
rnacentral:rRNA from 1 species